rnacentral:rRNA from 1 species
UCCGUAGGUGAACCUGCGGAAGGAUCAUUACCGAGUUGAUUCGGGCUCCGGCCCGAUCCUCCCACCCUUUGUGUACCUACCUCUGUUGCUUUGGCGGGCCGCGGUUCUCCGCGGCCGCCCCCCUCCCCGGGGGGUGGCCAGCGCCCGCCAGAGGACCAUCAAACUCCAGUCAGUAAACGAUGCAGUCUGAAAAACAUUUAAUAAACUAAAACCUUCAACAACGGAUCUCUUGGUUCUGGCAUCGAUGAAGAACGCAGCGAAAUGCGAUAAGUAAUGUGAAUUGCAGAAUUCAGUGAAUCAUCGAAUCUUUGAACGCACAUUGCGCCCUUUGGUAUUCCGAAGGGCAUGCCUGUUCGAGCGUCAUUACAACCCUCAAGCUCUGCUUGGUAUUGGGCACCGUCCUUUGCGGGCGCGCCUCAAAGACCUCGGCGGUGGCGUCUUGCCUCAAGCGUAGUAGAACAUACAUCUCGCUUCGGAGCGCAGGGCGUCGCCCGCCGGACGAACCUUCUGAACUUUUCUCAAGGUUGACCUCGGAUCAGGUAGGGAUACCCGCUGAACUUAAGCAUAUCAAUAAGCGGAGGA